rnacentral:rRNA from 1 species
AUUGAACGCUGGCGGCAUGCCUUACACAUGCAAGUCGAACGGUAACAGGUUAAGCUGACGAGUGGCGACCGGGUGAGUAAUGUAUCGGAACGUGCCCAGUCGUGGGGGAUAACUGCUCGAAAGAGCAGCUAAUACCGCCUACGACCUGAGGGUGAACGCGGGGGAUCGCAAGACCUCGCGCGAUUGGAGCGGCCGAUAUCAGAUUAGGUAGUUGGUGAGGUAAAGGCUCACCAAGCCGACGAUCUGUAGCUGGUCUGAGAGGACGACCAGCCACACUGGGACUGAGACACGGCCCAGACUCCUACGGGAGGCAGCAGUGGGGAAUGUUGGACAAUGGGCGCAAGCCUGAUCCAGCCAUGCCGCGUGCGGGAAGAAGGCCUUCGGGUUGUAAACCGCUUUUGUCAGGGAAGAAAAGGUUCUGGCUAAUACCUGGGACUCAUGACGGUACCUGAAGAAUAAGCACCGGCUAACUACGUG